rnacentral:tRNA from 1 species
GGAGCGGUAGUUCAGUUGGUUAGAAUACGUGCGCAGUCCCGUCCGUUCCGCCA